UACGUAGGGGGCAAGCGUUGUCCGGAUUUAUUGGGCGUAAAGAGCGUGUAGGCGGCCAGACAGGUCCGUUGUGAAAACUCGAGGCUCAACCUCGAGACGUCGGUGGAAACCGUUUGGCUAGAGUCCGGAAGAGGAGAGUGGAAUUCCCGGUGUAGCGGUGAAAUGCGCAGAUAUCGGGAGGAACACCUGUGGCGAAAGCGGCUCACUGGACCGCAACUGACGCUGAGGCGCGAAAGCUAGGGGAGCAAACAGG
rnacentral:rRNA from 1 species